CAGGAUAAUGGGGUCCAACACAAUGUCUUUUAUCAGGUCUAGUCCAGGAUAAUGGGGUCCAACACAAUGUCUUUUAUCAGGUCUAGUCCAGGAUAAUGGGGUCCAACACAAUGUCUUUUAUCAGGUCUAGUCCAGGAUAAUGGGGUCCAACACAAUGUCUUUUAUCAGGUCUAGUCCAGGAUAAUGGGGUCCAACACAAUGUCUUUUAUCAGGUCUAGUCCAGGAUAAUGGGGUCCAACACAAUGUCUUUUAUCAGGUCUAGUCCAGGAUAAUGGGGUCCAACACAAUGUCUUUUAUCAGGUCUAGUCCAGGAUAAUGGGGUCCAACACAAUGUCUUUUAUCAGGUCUAGUCCAGGAUAAUGGGGUCCAACACAAUGUCUUUUAUCAGGUCUAGUCCAGGAUAAUGGGGUCCAACACAAUGUCUUUUAUCAGGUCUAGUCCAGGAUAAUGGGGUCCAACACAAUGUCUUUUAUCAGGUCUAGUCCAGGAUAAUGGGGUCCAACACAAUGUCUU